UACGUGGAGUGAAGCGUUAAUCGGAAUUACUGGGCGUAAAGCGUGCGCAGGCGGUGAUGUAAGACCGAUGUGAAAUCCCCGGGCUUAACCUGGGAACUGCAUUGGUGACUGCAUCGCUAGAGUAUGGCAGAGGGGGGUAGAAUUCCACGUGUAGCAGUGAAAUGCGUAGAGAUGUGGAGGAAUACCGAUGGCGAAGGCAGCCCCUGGUCAAUACUGACGCUCAUGCACGAAAGCGUGGGGAGCAAACAGG
rnacentral:rRNA from 1 species